UCGGGAAUUUUGGGCAAUGGGGGAAACCCUGACCCAGCAACGCCGCGUGAAGGAUGAAGUAUUUCGGUAUGUAAACUUCGUAAGAAUAGGAAGAAUAAAUGACGGUACUAUUUGUAAGGUCCGGCUAACUACGUGCCAGCAGCCGCGGUAAUACGUAGGGACCAAGCGUUGUUCGGAUUUACUGGGCGUAAAGGGUGUCGAGGCGGUUGUAUUAGUCGUUCGUAAAAUCUACGAGCUUAACUUGUAGGCGGCGAACGAAACGGUACGACUUGAGGUUUGGAGAGGUGCGUGGAACUCACGGUGUAGGGGUGAAAUCCGUUGAUAUCGUGGGGAACACCAAAGGCGAAGGCAGCGCACUGGCCAAAAUCUGACGCUCACACACGAAAGCUAGGGUAGCGAAGAGGAUUAGAUACCCUCGUAGUCCCUGAGCGGGCUGGCAAGGCGCAU
rnacentral:rRNA from 1 species